GUAAAUAAAAAAAACUAUAAACAGAAUUUAUUAUUUUUAGGGCGAAUAUUAGUGUUUGAGAAAUAAAAAAAAGAGUUACACGUUCUAACCUCACAUUGUAAACAAAAGUUGUUAAUGUGUCAA